UACGUAGGGUGCGAGCGUUAAUCGGAAUUACUGGGCGUAAAGCGUGCGCAGGCGGUUUUGUAAGCCAGAUGUGAAAUCCCCGGGCUUAACCUGGGAAUGGCAUUUGGGACUGCAAGGCUGGAGUGUGGCAGAGGAGACUGGAAUUCCUGGUGUAGCAGUGAAAUGCGUAGAUAUCAGGAGGAAUACCGAUGGCGAAGGCAGGUCUCUGGGCUGACACUGACGCUCAUGCACGAAAGCCAGGGGAGCGAACGGG
rnacentral:rRNA from 1 species